UACGUAGGUGGCAAGCGUUGUCCGGAAUUACUGGGCGUAAAGCGCGCGUAGGUGGUGGGUUAAGUUGGAUGUGAAAGCCCACGGCUCAACCGUGGAGGGUCAUUGGAAACUGGGGGACUUGAGUACAGAAGAGGAAAGCGGAAUUCCACGUGUAGCGGUGAAAUGCGUAGAGAUGUGGAGGAACACCAGUGGCGAAGGCGACUUUCUGGUCUGUAACUGACGCUGGGGCGCGAGAGCGUGGGGAGCAAACAGG
rnacentral:misc_RNA from 1 species